GGGAAUUUGGGGGGCGUGCUAAUACAUGCAAGUCGAGCGGACAGAUGGGAGCUUGCUCCCUGAUGUUAGCGGCGGACGGGUGAGUAACACGUGGGUAACCUGCCUGUAAGACUGGGAUAACUCCGGGAAACCGGGGCUAAUACCGGAUGGUUGUUUGAACCGCAUGGUUCAAACAUAAAAGGUGGCUUCGGCUACCACUUACAGAUGGACCCGCGGCGCAUUAGCUAGUUGGUGAGGUAACGGCUCACCAAGGCAACGAUGCGUAGCCGACCUGAGAGGGUGAUCGGCCACACUGGGACUGAGACACGGCCCAGACUCCUACGGGAGGCAGCAGUAGGGAAUCUUCCGCAAUGGACGAAAGUCUGACGGAGCAACGCCGCGUGAGUGAUGAAGGUUUUCGGAUCGUAAAGCUCUGUUGUUAGGGAAGAACAAGUACCGUUCGAAUAGGGCGGUACCUUGACGGUACCUAACCAGAAAGCCACGGCUAACUACGUGCCAGCAGCCGCGGUAAUACGUAGGUGGCAAGCGUUGUCCGGAAUUAUUGGGCGUAAAGGGCUCGCAGGCGGUUUCUUAAGUCUGAUGUGAAAGCCCCCGGCUCAACCGGGGAGGGUCAUUGGAAACUGGGGAACUUGAGUGCACAAGAGGAGAGUGGAAUUCCACGUGUAGCGGUGAAAUGCGUAGAGAUGUGGAGGAACACCAGUGGCGAAGGCGACUCUCUGGUCUGUAACUGACGCUGAGGAGCAAAAGCGUGGGGAGCGAACAGGAUUAAAUACUCGGGUUAAAAUACACAUACCA
rnacentral:rRNA from 1 species